CUUAGAACAUCUCUGCUUCUCAUUCUUAACUUCCCGUUCUUCAUUUCUCAUCUCUGAUUUAUCUCUCUUCGAUCUGAUGGAAACCCUACUAAGCAUCGAAACAGAAGGAUUGAAGGCUAACACUCAGAUAUGUAUUCCUUUCUCUUUUUUUGUGUCAAAUUUUUACAAUUAACCUACCUAAUUUUUGUUUAGAUGUAGUAUUAUCUUACAUAAUUUCUGGAAAUGCUUAGCUUACAAAUUACGAUUUGGUUCUGCAAAAAAUAAAAGGCUUACACCCAGUUGUUUCGGUUUUGAUUCUGGAAUGUUUCGAUUUUGUCUCAUUUGCAAUGUAAAUCUUUCGAGUAUUUUUCCCCUAAUUUUAUGUCUAUAAAGCUGCCCUAAUUUAUGAAAUCUAAAGCUUAAAUUUACCGAUUUUCAUAUUGGUUUUUACUGAGGUUUGUAUUCACUGCAAAAAUACAUUUUCCCAGACUAUUAGAGGUUUUCUAAUUAAGCUCUAAGUUAAUUCUUUCAUUUUUUUUUUUUUAAAUCCAUAAAAGCAUUACAAUUAACUUUGCUAACUUAUAUUUUAUUUUAGGAAAAAUAUUUGGAGGCAUUAAAGCUACAAUCAACACAUUUAGAAGUAGUAUGAAAUUGAUCAAACUUGUUAUUAAAGGUGUAUGAAGACAUAGCUCUCAAAGGAAACAACCAUCACAGGAAUCCUUACACACCCUACCAGCAAGUUUUCAUCUUUACGCUUUAAAUUAGGAUUCAACUCAUCUGUCACUGUUAAAUGUGGAAUGUGGUUUAUUCUACAAAAAAAAAAAAAAAAGAGGUACGCACCAGUCGCAAAUUCAUGGCUGCCUCAGUUAUCAUAGGACUAAUAUCUCUUGCCAAGAUAUACACUGGAACCAUGGCUUUAGACGAAAUGCAGUUCUGGAAAUCACGUAUUUGAUAUGCAGUAGAAGUGUUCUAGUAUGAUGAUGUAUUUAUAGUUGAAGAUAAUCAAGUAUAUCAUUACUAUCCUUUAAUGCCGUAUUUUGGUAAACGAACCGUCCAUUGAAUUU